AGAGUUUGAUCCUGGCUCAGGAUGAACGCUAGCUACAGGCUUAACACAUGCAAGUCGAGGGGAAACGAUAUUGGAAGCUUGCUUCCGAUAGGCGUCGACCGGCGCACGGGUGAGUAACGCGUAUCCAACCUGCCCACCACUUGGGGAUAACCUUGCGAAAGUAAGACUAAUACCCAAUGAUAUCUCUAGAAGACAUCUGAAAGAGAUUAAAGAUUUAUCGGUGAUGGAUGGGGAUGCGUCUGAUUAGCUUGUUGGCGGGGUAACGGCCCACCAAGGCAACGAUCAGUAGGGGUUCUGAGAGGAAGGUCCCCCACAUUGGAACUGAGACACGGUCCAAACUCCUACGGGAGGCAGCAGUGAGGAAUAUUGGUCAAUGGACGAGAGUCUGAACCAGCCAAGUAGCGUGCAGGAAGACGGCCCUAUGGGUUGUAAACUGCUUUUAUAAGGGAAUAAAGUGAGUCUCGUGAGACUUUUUGCAUGUACCUUAUGAAUAAGGACCGGCUAAUUCCGUGCCAGCAGCCGCGGUAAUACGGAAGGUCCGGGCGUUAUCCGGAUUUAUUGGGUUUAAAGGGAGCGUAGGCCGGAGAUUAAGCGUGUUGUGAAAUGUAGACGCUCAACGUCUGCACUGCAGCGCGAACUGGUUUCCUUGAGUACGCACAAAGUGGGCGGAAUUCGUGGUGUAGCGGUGAAAUGCUUAGAUAUCACGAAGAACUCCGAUUGCGAAGGCAGCUCACUGGAGCGCAACUGACGCUGAAGCUCGAAAGUGCGGGUAUCGAACAGGAUUAGAUACCCUGGUAGUCCGCACGGUAAACGAUGGAUGCCCGCUGUUGGUCUGAAUAGGUCAGCGGCCAAGCGAAAGCAUUAAGCAUCCCACCUGGGGAGUACGCCGGCAACGGUGAAACUCAAAGGAAUUGACGGGGGCCCG
rnacentral:rRNA from 1 species